rnacentral:lncRNA from 1 species
CUCCAGGAAAGAUAGAUCAGAGUUGUUUUUUUUUUUUUUCCCCUGUAUUUUUUCCCGUCACCCAGUAGUAUCCUUAGAACAUAUUUAUUGACUGGAAGAAUUGUACCGCUGCAUUCCUCUCUGCUUGUUUUGCAGCUCUCUAAAGGGACUUGGGAUCUCUUCUGUGGGGUUCCUUGGCCUGCUUGAGGAUGCUGCUCCACUGUAACAUUUACUCAAUAUUCAGCCUUUAGGGUGAACUUCGGCUAGCUGCAAUCUUCACAGAGCUUCCAGCUUGUAAUACUGAGUACAUGAGAAUAGUGGCAGAUUUGUCACUUUUUCUUAGUGUGCUUUUCAGAAGUACAUGAAUAACAAUAGUAUAAUAUUGUGGAGACAAAGGUGUUUUACAGUGUACUGGUUGCAGAAGGAAUGGCUGACUUUUGUCUCUCUUAAUGAGCUUUACUUUUGGGUGGGUUCCCAAAUACAUUGCUGAGGAGCCAAAUGGAGAAAUGUAGAGGUGAGUUUCUUUAGCUUGCAUUUAAAGAAGUACACAGCAUUCUGUCUUAUGGAUAUGGAUAUGGAGUCAAAAUACCUCUGACAGCAAAUUUUUCUAGGAUUACACAAAUUCAGAUAUACUGGGUAAUGGAAAUUCUAAAUACUGUGUAAAUAUGAUGACUGCCUUCACCAUAAAAAGUGAAAAUAUUGGGGUUUUUUACUCAAAUUCAGUGGGAAUUAGCUAUGGCUUUAAAUACUUUAGAAAAGGCAAAGGAGAAGUCAC